rnacentral:rRNA from 1 species
UAGGGAAUCUUCCACAAUGGGCGCAAGUCUGAUGGAGCAACGCCGCGUGAGUGAAGAAGGGUUUCGGCUCGUAAAACUCUGUUGUUAAAGAAGAACAUAUCUGAGAGUAACUGUUCAGGUAUUGACGGUAUUUAACCAGAAAGCCACGGCUAACUACGUGCCAG